AAAAAACUAAAUAUUUUAAUUGGCUAAAGUCUUAUCAUCCAAAAUUUGUCAAUUUCCCGAAUUCAUUCCCCCAAGACGGCAGCAUUACCAUCACUACAACAAAAUCUAGCGGCGGUGUUACCACAACAAUACCACCGCAGCGCCGCCCUGUUGCCCUUAAGAUCCUUGUCACUGUAUAUAUAUAUAUAUAGAGAGAGAGAGAGAGAGAGAGUUCCAGUGGCGACUGCUAGAUGUACUUCUCUUCCUCUAUGUCGAAUUGGGUCCUCAUGAUUUUUAGUUUUAGGUACUGACUGUGGGCACCAUACUUGUUUCUUCAAGUUGAAGUUACAAUGAUGAUAGGAACUGUUUUUUCAAGAAGAAGUAUAUCCACAUUUUCUUGGUUAUGCCACAGAAUUAAGCAGACAGAAAGUGAAAUUGUUAAAAUGUUUGAGAUCUCAAGAGCUAAGGCUGAAACAGAAGGCUUCCAAGAGAAGCGACCACCCUUAAGAAGGGGCUCUGUUAGGAUAUUGGAUGAGAGGUUCAUCAGGAUUCUGAAGAUAUUUAAGUGGGGUCCUGAUGCUGAAAAGGCAUUGGAGGUGCUACAGCUGAAAGUAGACAAUGAAUUGGUUCGAGAAGUUCUGAAAAUAGACAUGGAGGUCAGUGUGAAAAUUCAGUUUUUCAAGUGGGCUGGUAAAAGGAGGAACUUUGAACAUGACUCUACUACCUACCUGACUUUGAUUCGAUGUCUUGAAGAAGCUGGGCUGACGGGUGAAAUGUGGAAGACGGUGCAAGAAAUGGCACGAAGUACAUGUGUCAUUACUCCUGUCGAUCUCUCCGAGACUGUAAGAAUUUUGGGCAGGGCAAAAAUGGUGAACAAAGCAUUAUCAAUAUUUUACCAGAUUAAAGCCCGCAAGUGCAAGCCAACUGCAACCACUUACAAUUCCAUUAUUUUGAUGCUGAUGCAAGAGGGCCAACAUGAAAAGGUUCAUGAGCUUUACAGUGAAAUGUGUAAUGAGGGUAAUUGUUUCCCUGAUACAGUUACCUACAGUGCUCUUAUAUCAUCCUAUGCAAAGCUAGGUCGUGAUAAUUCUGCUAUUAGGUUGUUUGAUGAAAUGAAGGACAAUGGUUUACAUCCCACUGCAAAGAUAUAUACAACCUUGUUAGCGGUUUACUUCAAAUUGGGUAGGGUCGAAUUGGCUUUAGCAUUAGUCAAUGAGAUGAAGAAGAAUGCUUGUGCCCCAACUGUGUAUACUUACACCGAAUUGAUAAGAGGGCUUGGUAAAGCUGGUAAAAUCGAAGAUGCGUAUUCUAUAUUUCUGUCCAUGCUAAAAGAGGGAUGUAAGCCGGAUGUUGUGUUGAUAAACAAUGUGAUAAACCUUCUAGGAAGGGGAGGACGUAUAGGUGAUGCUUUUAAAUUGUUUAAUGAAAUGGAAUCAUUAAACUGUAAACCGAAUGUUGUGACAUAUAAUACUGUUAUAAAAUCUCUGUUUGAGUCGAAAGCACCAAUGUCCGAGGUUUCAUCUUGGUUUGACAGAAUGAAAGAAAAUGGUGUUGCUCCAAGCUCUUUUACUUAUUCAAUACUUAUUGAUGGAUAUUGCAAGAAAAAUAGAAUUGAAAAAGCCUUAGCCUUGCUUGAGGAGAUGGACGAGAAGUGCUUUCCUCCUUGUCCAGCUGCCUAUUGCAGCUUGAUCAAUACCCUUGGAAAAGCAAAACGCUAUGAAGCUGCAAAUGAGUUGUUUCAAGAACUAAAAGAGAGUUGUGGAUCUAGCAGUUCUCGGGUAUAUGCUGUAAUGAUAAAGCACUUCGGGAAAUGUGGCCGUUUGACUGAGGCUGUCAAUCUUUUUAAUGAGAUGCAAAAGCUGGGAUGUUCUCCUGAUGUAUAUGCAUACAAUGCACUCAUGUCUGGGCUGGUGAGGUCAGGUAUGCUAGAUGAGGCUUUUUCCAUGCUUCGUAGUAUGGAAGAAAAUGGAUGUGCUCCUGACUUAAACUCAUUUAACAUAAUACUAAAUGGUUUGGCCAAGACUGGUGACCCACAGAAAGCGAUCGAGAUGUUUACAAAAAUGAAACAAUCAACAAUUAAACCUGAUGCUGUCUCUUACAACACCAUUCUUGGUUGCCUAAGUCGUGCUGGCAUGUUCGAGGAAGCUGCAAGGCUGAUGAAAGAGAUGCGUGCCAAUGGUUUUGAAUAUGAUCUUAUUACAUACUCGUCUAUACUUGAAGCAGUCGGUCAUAUUGAUGAGGAUCGUACAUGUCAAACUUCAUGAGAGAGCUUUGUUUCUGAAGCUAGUGAGCUUCUGUGAUCGAUUUACUCAUAAUCAUGUUGGUGAAAUUUCAAAUGUCGAGGAUUGUCUACCCUACCUUUCUCCUCUCUCAAAAUGACCAGGGUUCAACUAUUGCUUCCUACAAGUGAAAUUCUCUAGUUACCUUUUGGUGCAUUCCAAUUUCGGGUCUAGAAUGAGACAGGAUUAGGAGGCAUCAGGAUCACUCAUUCAGUUCAUCUUCUCUUCAGUUGCCAAAAGGAUAUUCCCGCUGGUGUUGGCUUCCAUAAUUGUUGUAUCUGGUCUAGAAUUUUCCACAUCGUCCAAGCUGCAAAACUAUGUGCAUCAUACAGUGCAUAAUAGUCCCUUCAAGUCAGUAGCACUGCAUCACCAUACUGAAAUUCAUGUAUAUUUUAGGGGAUAGCAAACAGUUAGAAACCAAAGUUAUUCUUGUUUUACACAACUAUUGCGCAAGGAUGAAGAAGCUGGCUUAUCCGUAUUGAGGUUCAACUAUUGAUACAGGGAUGCAUGGCAGGUCCUAUUGUCUUCACGUAUAACGAGCUGACCAAUUGCCAUAAAUCCCUUGGAAGGAGAGCUAUCAGAUGUUGUGUGGGUAUCAACAAGGAAUGCUUAAAUGUAACAAUCUUUUUUGGUAAGUUGCUUAAAUAUACUAACAAUACGGGGAACUCUUAAAGUUAUGUUCACCAUGGGAAGUCAGUCCUAUAAAUGUGAGAAUAUUGAAGGCAAUAUUUUUGAUAUUGAGAGAGUACAUAUAACAAUUGUGUAUAAAAACACACUGAAUAUCACAGUAUUAUUCCGAAUAUCUUGUUGAUAGGAA